ACCGGCGGACGGGUGCGUAACGCGUAUGCAACCUGCCUGACACAGGGGGAUAAUCCGAAGAAAUUUGGUCUAAUACCCCAUAAUACCGAUAUAGGCAUCUAUGUUGGUUGAAAGCUUUGGUGGUGUCAGAUGGGCAUGCGUUGUAUUAGCUAGUUGGUGAGGUAACGGGCUCACCAAGGCGACGAUACAUAGGGGGACUGAGAGGUUAACCCCCCCACCACUGGUACUGAGACACGGACCAGACUCCUACGGGAGGCAGCAUG
rnacentral:rRNA from 1 species